GAAAUGCGAUAAGUAGUGUGAAUUGCAGAAUUCAGUGAAUCAUCGAAUCUUUGAACGCACAUUGCGCCCCUUGGUAUUCCAUGGGGCAUGCCUGUUCGAGCGUCAUUUGUACCUUCAAACUUUGCUUGGUGUUGGGUGUUUGUCUCGCCUCUGCGCGCAGACUCGCCUCAAAACAAUUGGCAGCCGGCGUAUUGAUUUCGGAGCGCAGUACAUCUCGCGCUUUGCACUCAUAACGACUACGUCCAAAAAGUACAUUUUUUACACUCUUGACCUCGGAUCAGGUAGGGAUACCCGCUGAACUUAAGC
rnacentral:misc_RNA from 1 species